UACGUAGGGUGCGAGCGUUAAUCGGAAUUACUGGGCGUAAAGCGUGCGCAGGCGGUUUGUUAAGACAGAUGUGAAAUCCCCGGGCUUAACCUGGGAAUGGCAUUGGUGACUGCACGGCUAGAGUGUGGCAGAGGGGGGUAGAAUUCCACGUGUAGCAGUGAAAUGCGUAGAGAUGUGGAGGAAUACCGAUGGCGAAGGCAGCCCCCUGGGAUAACACUGACGCUCAUGCACGAAAGCGUGGGGAGCAAACAGG
rnacentral:rRNA from 1 species